CUACGGGAGGCACCAGUGAGGAAUAUUGGUCAAUGGGCGUAAGCCUGAACCAGCCAAGUAGCGUGAAGGAUGACUGCCCUCUGGGUUGUAAACUUCUUUUAUAGGGGAAUAAAGUGCAUCACGUGUGAUGUUUUGUAUGUACCCUACGAAUAAGGACCGGCUAACUCCGUGCCAGCAGCCGCGGUAAUACGGAGGGUCCGAGCGUUAUCCGGAUUUAUUGGGUUUAAAGGGUGCGCAGGCGGGAUGUUAAGUCAGUUGUGAAAGUUGGACGCUCAACGUUCAAAUUGCAAUUGAAACUGGCAUUCUUGAGUGCAGUGGAGGUAAGCGGAAUUCGUGGUGUAGCGGUGAAAUGCUUAGAUAUCACGAAGAACUCCGAUUGCGAAGGCAGCUUGCUAUACUGCAACUGACGCUCAUGCACGAAGGUGUGGGUAUCAAACAGGAUUAGAUACCCCAGUAGUC
rnacentral:rRNA from 1 species